GAUGUUGAACAAAAACUGCUCCUUCAGAAGGUUGGGAAAGGAAGGAGUUGAAUAACCAAGAAGCCUCCGGGUGGCCUGAAGGUCGUCCUCCCCCAGGCUAGAAGCCCAGCGGAUAGAGUCCCUCAGGGAGCCCCAAGGGGGCAAUCCCAGCCUCAAGGUCGGGCAGUGGAUAAAAAGGUACUUCCCCUUCCAAUUAUGGAUUGAAAAGGGAGCACCUUUCAGCAACCCCUUCUUGCCAAACUGGGGAGAGAAAUACCACCAGUCCUUUGUCGAGGGAUGACGCUUGAAGGUAUAAAAAUAUCUAAACAAAGAAAGAGAUGGCUGAACUUCAACUACAUGGC
rnacentral:lncRNA from 1 species